GACGAACGCUGGCGGCGUGCUUAACACAUGCAAGUCGAACGGAAAGGCCCUGCUUUUGUGGGGUGCUCGAGUGGCGAACGGGUGAGUAACACGUGAGUAACCUGCCCUUGACUUUGGGAUAACUUCAGGAAACUGGGGCUAAUACCGGAUAGGAGCUCCUGCUGCAUGGUGGGGGUUGGAAAGUUUCGGCGGUUGGGGAUGGACUCGCGGCUUAUCAGCUUGUUGGUGGGGUAGUGGCUUACCAAGGCUUUGACGGGUAGCCGGCCUGAGAGGGUGACCGGCCACAUUGGGACUGAGAUACGGCCCAGACUCCUACGGGAGGCAGCAGUGGGGAAUAGUGCACAAUGGGCGGAAGCCUGAUGCAGCAACGCCGCGUGCGGGAUGACGGCCUUCGUGUUGUAAACCGCUUGCGCCUGUGACGAAGCGUGAGUGACGGUAAUGGGUAAAGAAGCACCGGCUAACUACGUG
rnacentral:rRNA from 1 species